rnacentral:rRNA from 1 species
CCUACGGGAGGCAGCAGUGGGGAAUUUUGGACAAUGGGCGAAAGCCUGAUCCAGCAAUGCCGCGUGUGGGAAGAAGGCCUUCGGGUUGUAAACCACUUUUGUACGGAACGAAACGGUUCGCUUUAAUACAGUGGGCUAAUGACGGUACCGUAAGAAUAAGCACCGGCUAACUACGUGCCAGCAGCCGCGGUAAUACGUAGGGUGCGAGCGUUAAUCGGAAUUACUGGGCGUAAAGCGUGCGCAGGCGGUUAUAUAAGACAGUUGUGAAAUCCCCGGGCUCAACCUGGGAAUUGCAUCUGUGACUGUAUAGCUAGAGUACGGUAGAGGGGGAUGGAAUUCCGCGUGUAGCAGUGAAAUGCGUAGAUAUGCGGAGGAACACCGAUGGCGAAGGCAAUCCCCUGGACCUGUACUGACGCUCAUGCACGAAAGCGUGGGGAGCAAACAGGAUUAGAUACCCUGGUAGUCCACGCCCUAAACGAUGUCAACUGGUUGUUGGGUGCAUUAGUACUCAGUAACGAAGCUAACGCGUGAAGUUGACCGCCUGGGGAGUACGGCCGCAAGGUUGAAACUCAAAUGAAUUGAGNGNGAGACGNGCGACGACGACGACGAGGGAGAGG